AUAAAAUCAUUGAAGAGGAGAGUAGUCUAUUUUCAUUUUCAAAGCGAGUGGGAGUAUGGUGUAAGUUCCAAAAAAUAAAAUAGAUGAAAAGAACCUUAGAGAUGCUGCCAGAAUCUUUGUAUUUAAAGUAGUAGGGUAUAAUGCCGCAAAAGUUAAUGCGUUAAAAUAAAAAGUGGGUUUAAAGCCAAUUAGAGUGGUACCGCGGAAUAUAUCCGUCUCUUGA
rnacentral:ncRNA from 1 species